rnacentral:rRNA from 1 species
UUGAAAGGGAAACGAUUGAAGUCAGUCGUGCUGGCGCGAAAUCAAUCUUCUCGUCUUGAGAUCACAUGGCGUGGCGAGCCUCAAAACCGUCACGAAGCGUGAACUCUUGGUGAAAUGGAGCACUUUCGUGUCCGCUGGUUAACAUCAAUUUCGAACGUCAUAAAAAGGCUGGAGGGAUGUGGCUCCUUCGGGAGUGUUAUAACCUUUAGCGGAAUGUGGUGUUCGGGAUUGAGGAUUGCAACGAAUACCUUUAGGGCUGUUCCACCUGGCUUCUCUUUGGUAUCCUGGUGACGACAGCUUGCUGACGUCGUUAGGAUUCGCCUUUGAACAGGUUAGAGUGUGAGCAAAUUCGUUAAGGAUGUUGACGUA